rnacentral:lncRNA from 1 species
CCAUUGCUGUGCUACAUAAAACUGUGUAGAAUUGACUAUUGCAAUUAAAGAACUGAGAUGAUUGCAAAUCUAUGGUGUCAGAACACAAGGAUGGGGAAGGUGAACAGCACGUAGCCUCGGGCCUGUUCCUGCUAACGCCGCUACAUUAAAGAGGCUAAUGUCGAACAUGCUCCCGGAUUGUGCCGUAAUGUUUCGACAAAUCAAAG